rnacentral:rRNA from 1 species
AGUGAACGCUGGCGGUGGGCCUAACACAUGCAAGUCGAACGGCAGCACAGUAAGAGUUUGCUCUUACGGAUGGCCAGUGGCGGGCGGAAGAGGAAUACAACGGAAUCUACUUUUUCGUGGGGCAUAACGUAGGGAAACCUACGCCAAUACAGCAUACGACCCACCGGUGAAAGCAGGGGAUCUUCGGACCUUGCGCGAAUGAACGAGCCGAUGUUGGGGUAGCUGGUUGGCGGGGUAAAGGCCAACCAUGGCGAGGAUCCGUAGCUGGUCUGAGAGGAUGAUCGGCCACACUGGAGCGGGACCACGGUCCAGACUCCUACGGGAGGCAGCAGUGGGGAAUAUUGGGCAGUGGGCGCAAGCCUGAUCCAGCCAGACCGCGUGGGUGGAGGAGGCGUUCGGGUUGGAAAGCCCUUUUGUUGGGAGAGAAAAGCAGCCGGUUAUUACGCCGCUGUUCUGACGGUACCCAAUGAAUAAGCACCGGCUAACUUCGUG